UACGUAGGGGGCGAGCGUUAUCCGGAUUCAUUGGGCGUAAAGCGCGCGCAGGCGGGUUGCUAAGCGGGACCUCUAAUCUCAGGGCUCAACCUUGAGCCGGGUCCCGAACUGGCAGCCUCGGGUUCGGUAGGGGAGAUCGGAAUUCCCGGUGUAGCGGUGGAAUGCGCAGAUAUCGGGAAGAACACUCGUGGCGAAGGCGGGUUCCUGGACAUUAACUGACGCUGAGGCACGAAGGCCAGGGGAGCGAAAGGG
rnacentral:rRNA from 1 species